CGCUUUCAAAAAGGGUAUAAAAUGGAAGGCCCAAGUCCAAUUGAUAUCUUCGUUUUAAAGGAAGCUACAAUCAACAUGAAACUGAUUCUGCUCACUGCUGUACUAGCUGUCUUGGCAUCGGGCUGCUAUGCUGUUGCUGCUGGCCCUGAUAAUAAGUCUUAUCCACCAGAACCAGAACAAUAAAAGCUGGAACUGGUUUUUGAAAUAAAAAUGUAUAUUCAAAUAUACAAAUCAUAAUGCAGAAAUAA